AUAAAAUUCAAUGCACGUUAGGCGUUUUGCCUUUUUUCAACUUGCUCCUUGCGACGUUACUUAUUUUGGCCAGCAACAGUGAUUUCAUGUGAAUCGAGAAAGAUCUCGGAGGUGCCGAUAAACCAUACCAGAUUCGUUUUUAUCCCCAAUUAUUGGGACAUUACAUGAAUUUAGUUGAAAUUUGAUUUUUUAUUGCAACCGUUUCGUAAACCAAAACGAGUUAGAACAGCUUUCUCGCCGUCGCAACUACUAAAAUUAGAACAUGCCUUCGAAAGUAAUCACUAUGUGGUUGGUGCAGAGCGGAAAACGUUGGCGCAGGUGCUGAG
rnacentral:misc_RNA from 1 species